rnacentral:misc_RNA from 1 species
CAGAGUCCCUGCCCCGUAUGGGGUAGACCUCCAACCCUUUGUUUAUCAACUUUGUUGCUUUGGCAGGCCGCAAGACUUCAGGGCUUUCCAUCGGCUUUGGCUGGUGUGUGCCUGUCAAAGGACCCCAAAACUCUUAGUGUUGUCUGAGUUAAAACUAAAUUAUUA